rnacentral:rRNA from 1 species
CCUACGGGAGGCUGCAGUGGGGAAUAUUGGACAAUGGGGGAAACCCUGAUCCAGCCAUGCCGCGUGAGUGAUGAAGGCCUUAGGGUUGUAAAGCUCUUUUGCCAGGGAAGAUAUUGACGGUACCUGGAGAAUAAGCACCGGCUAACUUCGUGCCAGCAGCCGCGGUAAUACGAAGGGUGCUAGCGUUGUUCGGAAUCACUGGGCGUAAAGCGCGCGCAGGCGGCCAAUCAAGUCAGAGGUGAAAUGCCGGGGCUUAACCCCGGAAUUGCCUUUGA